UAAGACGAACCGUCCAAACGUUAUUCGGAAUCACUGGGCUUAAAGGGUGCGUAGGCGGCGCGGAAAGUUGGGUGUGAAAUCCCUCGGCUCAACCGAGGAAUUGCGCCCAAAACUUCCGUGCUCGAGGAAGAUAGAGGUGAGCGGAACUUAGGGUGGAGCGGUGAAAUGCGUUGAUAUCCUAAGGAACACCGGUGGCGAAAGCGGCUCACUGGAUCUUUUCUGACGCUGAGGCACGAAAGCUAGGGUAGCGAACGG
rnacentral:rRNA from 1 species